GCUAUGCUUUUCUUUUUCUCUUUGCUUCCCUUUUUUCAGGUGUCAAGUUUUCGAAGGACAAAAAAAAAAAAAGGCUUAUCUUCUUUUGAGGAGUCUGAAGAAAUGUUUACUAUCAAGGAUAGAGCAGCAAGAUCUUGGAUGGAUGCUGGGGAACGGAUGGUGCUUAGGCUUGGCUCCCUUUCCAGGUACUCCUUCCUCUCAAGGAAUGAGAGGCCUGGGGGAACCUUACUUCUCCUCUGUCUGGCCAUCUACAGAUUCACAGUUGACCCUUAAAUGGCAUCUUCUGUUAAUAUGGGGCAGGGUAACCACUUGCAUGGGAGUCCAAGGUCGGUAAAACGGUCAGUGGGUCAAAUGAUAAGUGAAAUAUAUGUAAUUUUUAACCACAACUGGAAGAUAGUGUUGGGAAAAUGACACAAAAAUGUUCCUAUACUACUUACAGUAAAAUUUGGAAAUAUUUAGCAUUAGCCCAGCUGUUGCAAAUAUGAUUUAAGUGUGGUGUUCUGAGGAUGCUAUAAAAUUUUUCUUUUAAUUGUAGUAAAACACACAUAACAUAAAAUUUACCAUCUUAAUCAUUUCUUCUCUUUUUUCCAAAGAUUUUGUUUAUUUAUUUGACAGAGCAAGAGAGCAGAAGCAGGGGGAGUGGCAGAAGGAGAGGGAAAAGCAGAUUCCCUGCUGAGCAGGGAGCCCAAUGGGGGGCUCAGUCCCAGGGCCCUGGGAUCAUGACCUGAGCCAACAGCAAUUGUUUAACCGACCGAGCCACCCAGACAUUCCUCAUCUUAUUCAUUUCUUAGCAUACAGAGCAGUAACAUUAAGUACAUUCACAUUGUUGCACUGAAACUCCAUACCAUUAAACAGCUCCCUGUUCUCUCCCCCAUUAGCAACACUCCACAACCCCUCCCACUUUUCUCUAGUUCCCUCAUAUAAGUAAAAUCUUACAGGAUUAAUCUUUUGUGAUGGCUUCUGUCACUUAAUGUAAUGUCCUCAAGAGGAAUCUCCAUUUUUACACCAAUAUCAUCUUUUAAUUUGUAAAGAAAAAUUGGCAAUUAAUAAAAAACAGAUGACUGACUAUGGCUUCUGAUCUGUGUUGUCCUGGUCUGGAUACAGUUUACAACCAGGGACGUUUUUACUUUCUUUUAUCAGGUUUCCAGGGAAGCAGAGCGAGAAAGUUAAUCAAAGUCAAAUGUUCAUGGGGAAAGGGUUUCGUUAAUCCUUUAUUCUUAGCCCUUCAAAUGGUUAAAUAGAAAGGAGUCAGAAUGAUGAAGUGAUAUGAAGAACUAAAUUGCACAGUGAAAUUUGUCAUCUCUUUUUGGCUAUGAGUCUGUUCCCCAACACACGCAGAUUAAUAGUGAUGGAGCUAUAAUUAGAAUGCCAAUGCCUGACAAUGUGCCAUCAAAUAGCACAUUCUUUCCUAAGAGAAGGAAGAGAAAGCACGAGGAAAGAGAAGACAGUGGUGAUAAUCUAUGAAGGAGGCAGCAGAGUGAGAAAGAGGAAGGCAUUUUUUCCUGGCAGUGGUUGCCCCACUGGCAGCAGUUUAGCAGCCCGUAGAGAUGCCACACAGGAUUUCACAUGAGUAAAAAUGGGACUUGGGGCAGUAAUUUGUGAACUCUCUGAUCUUGCUAAAGAGGAGUCUCUUUUGUCUUUGAAAGAGGAAAGUAAUUCACACUAUCAGUCAUUCUGCAAAUAGAAAAACUGUGGACUGCUUAAGAGGUAAUGGGUUUGGGCUGGGAUCCUCCCCUGACUGCCUCUACUCUCCAGUCUUUCUUAAGGUCAGCAUUUGUAGUCAAAAUAGACUGGAAACAUUGUUCUUAUAGCUUUUUAUUUUCAUUGAAUACAGGAGUCCCUCUCUAUAUGUUCUGUAUUUAAUAUACAUAAAGACAUUUCUGGAUCUUCUCGUAUGAUAAAGAGGACAUGAUGAGGAGAAACUUGAAAGACGGUUGCAAAGCCACUAUCACACUGAAGACAAGCAGAUGAGUUUCUCAAGAAGCAGCUGGUGCAUGAGUAUGGGAAGAGCCGGUUUGAGGGAUGGAAGAGGAAAGUUUGACCUGACCCAAAGAAGGUCCUAUGAACAGUGAGGUCAGGGGAGGUUUCCUGUUGGACUGCACACAGGAGUAUGAUCUGGAAAAAGCCAACAAAAUAACCUCUGUUCUCUGACUGAAGCAAGAACUCUAAUCCCUACCCAGAUAAGAGCUAGGAAUAAAAUGUCUGUGCUAAGAGAGGCUUGAACGGGGGAGCUAUCUACCACAGCUGAACAAGGUCAAGUAUCCAUCUGUAACUUGAAGAGGCCAGAAUGGAGUUCCUGUUCAGGGCACCUCCCCACACAAGUGAAGCUUGAGGAAGACAGAAACUUUCUUCUUGUAAUCCCAGUACUUAGCACUGAGUAAGCUAUUCAAUAUAGCUGAACAAGCAUGGCCUGUAGGGAAUACAGCUUGAUGUUUCACUACUGAGACACCAAUCCUCCCCCAACUUUUCCGGGGUAUUCUUAAUUUCUGAUUCAUGGCCAACCAGUGGGCCAUGACAAGAAAAUGUACUUGCUCUACGGAUGUGAAGAACUGUGGAGUGUUAUCAUCAAUGAGAUGGACACACAGGGUCUCAAGAGAUGACAUGUGAGAAGACCAGGAAUCUCUUGUGCAUGUGCACACACACACAAGACACACACAAUCUCUCAGCUCCUCUUUUAGGACAUAGUUUCAUUUGGGGUUUUUUGUCUUGUUUUGUUUUGUAGCUUGGCGACAUCUGGCAGCAUUCAGUCUCUCUCGUUCAAACUAAUGCAUAAAAAACUAAGGUGACCUGGUGUUACUAAAUCGUCACCAGCUGUGUCUAGCUUUAAAAAUCUGUUAUUAAUACCAGAGCUGGAUGUUACAUAUUAGCCAAACACUGCUUAUUAAUCAUUCACAGGUAUGUGGUGGUGGUAGAGUUAAGCUUCCAAAGACAAUGCCCUGGCAGCUAAGGAUUUAUGGGUUUUCCUAAAGAGAACAACAAUAGGAUGGGAGAAGGACCAGUAGGACCCCAACCCUGAAUAUGAACCUUCGCCUAAUCCACUGUUCUGUUUAAAUUGCUCUUUAAGCUGCUUAGAGAAAAGGAGUGGCACUACCUGUGAGGAUGGGAAGCAGUUACUGUCGGAAGAAAUCCAGAACCUCCAAAAGUGAGGCUAGGGCAGUUCUCCCAUUUUCUCCUUCAGCUGAGUGCCAACAGCUUGUGGGUGCUCAUCUGCAGAGUCUCUCUCCUGUCCCCGGAGCUCAGCAGUUUUAGGAUUCAGCUCUCUGGAGGUGUCCUCUCUAAUCCUAUAGAGUGUGGUGCCCCGGUGAGCCCUUCUGCCAAAGGGCAUAGGAGCAAAACUGCAGGCCAGCAAACCCUGGUCCCCUCCCCUUCUUUCCCUCCCCCAUUCCAGAGUGUGAUGGCAGAGACUAAGGCCAGGGUCCCUCAUGGUCCUGUUACCACUAAACUGGGAAUGACCACCUGCUGGGAAACCUUGGUAGAAGCUGGGGGUUCAGUUGUUGGAGAUUAUCUCCCCUGAAGCAUGUUCUGAGGUUAUACCGGGUUUGAGGGUUCGCCAGAGACAAAAAGGAUUCUGGUUGAGAUGGGAGGAAUAGCCCAGAGCUUUGGGGCACCCGUGUGCAUGUGUGUGCAUGCACACACCCCAUGUAUUAUACCAUGUAUGCAUGUGAAUGUGCAAUUGUGAAGUGUUCGCACUCAUGGAACCAGCUCCUCUGACCAAACUAUACUUGUGCUCUCUUUCUUGGAUGACAGUAAAAAUGUAUGAUCAUUUGUAGGGGGAAAAAAUCCGAAAACACAGCAAAGCACAAAGAAGAAAAUAAUCCCAUCACCAAAAAAAACCACUUAAGCAUUUUGUAUCUGGCACUCCCAUCUUUUCACUUGGCAUAUUGAGAGUUCUUUAUUCUGUUUUUCAAAAUCGG
rnacentral:lncRNA from 1 species